AGAAUCAACGCUGGCGGCGUGCCUAACACAUGCAAGUCGAACGAGAAAGCGGGGGCAACUCCGUAAGUAAAGUGGCGUACGGGUGAGUAACACGUAGCUAACCUACCCUCAAGCGUGGAAUAACCUGGGGAAACUCGGGACUAAUACCGCAUAACAUCCGGGUGGCAUAUGUUGCCUGGAGCAAAGGCCCGCAAGGGUCGCUGGAGGAGGGGGCUGCGGCCGAUUAGCUAGUUGGUGAGGUAAUGGCCCACCAAGGCAAUGAUCGGUA
rnacentral:rRNA from 1 species